rnacentral:tRNA from 1 species
GGAGGCCUUAGCUUAAUUAAAGUGUCUGAGUUGCAGUCAGAAGAUGUAUAGUAGAGUUUUACAGGCCUUCAGAAAUU